rnacentral:rRNA from 1 species
UACGAAGGGUGCAAGCGUUAAUCGGAAUUACUGGGCGUAAAGGGUGCGUAGGCGGUUCGUUAAGUCUGUCGUGAAAUCCCCGGGCUCAACCUGGGAAUGGCGAUGGAUACUGGCGAGCUAGAGUGUGUCAGAGGAUGGUGGAAUUCCCGGUGUAGCGGUGAAAUGCGUAGAGAUCGGGAGGAACAUCAGUGGCGAAGGCGGCUCGCUGGGCAGUGGCUGACGCUGAGGCGCGACAGCGUGGGGAGCAAACAGG